UUUUUGUAUUUGCCCCUCUUUUGCUUUUCUCUUUUCCCCUGCGAAAGACCAACUAAUGAUCGUCCUGCUUUCUUUUUACCUUCUCUAUUUCCUCUUUGCCUUUUUUUUUUUUCUGUAAAGUUGGAUCUCCUCGUAUUAAUCUGAAUAUUGGGAUAAUGGUGAAUCGUUGAUGGAUCUUAUUAACAAAAGUGGAUAGAUUUUAGGUGCUAUUGCAGCAGUUGGAAUUUGGAACCUAUUGAAGCUUAUCGCUUUUCCUUUAAGAAGAAUCCAAUAUAUUAUUGGUCAAUAAGAAUGACAAAAUUGGCAUCUCUAGGACCUAAAUGAGCAGCAAAGGAGGGAGUUUCCAAACUUAAAAGCACUCUACUUAAUUGUUUGAUUAUUGAAUAUGUCAUUAUGCACG
rnacentral:lncRNA from 1 species